GAUUUCCUUUAUAUCUCAGUUAUUUUUAACUUCCGUGGGUACCCAUCGAUCGAUAGCAAAAUCUUUUUCGACUAAUAUGUUAGUUACCUUUUAAUAAUCUACACAACAUACGUAGUAGUAAAAAUCUGACAACGUUUAUGCACAAUAUUUAUUUAUUUUAUCGUGCUCAAUUGGGUCGUCAAAAAGAUCGGCCAAUAACGACCGUGUUCAAUCGGGUAUCACCGCAUUUAUCUAUUUCUCAACCUUAGACAAAAGGUCUUUUAAAAUCACCAAUAUACUGAAUUAUGUCAG